GCGCAAACGCCCCGUGGAACGUCAUAGCCUCGCGCAGAAUAUGGCUGCCGCAAGUACAGCAAAAACACAACACCGAUGAUUUUGGGACAAAUUAUCAUCUGAUUUUGACUUAAAACCCCAAAAUGUCGGACUCAUUAAAGACGCAGACGCUUCAUGAUCGACUGGACCGUCUACAGGAGCUCGAGGAGUUCACAGAAAACUGCAAAAAGCAGUUAGACGAUAUAUUUGAAACGCUGGGAUGGUCGCGCGACAACACCAAACAGGAAGCAACGGAGCAGUGUCCCUACGACCCCAACCACAGAGUCCCCGUGAGGAGCAUGGAGAAACACAAAGCCUCCUGCAGCCGCCGCAAGAUGGGCUACUCCGCCGAGGAGGAGGCGGAGAUGUUCGACCCUUCUGUGUGUUAUGAGAACAGCGGUGUCAGAAGCUUUACAAUGGACAAAUCCACCCAGCACCAGGUGAUCCUGCAGGCCAGAUCUGCUGCACCGCUGAUGAGGAUGGAGGGGGUCUUCUGGCAAGGUCAGUACUCCGGCCAGCCCGUCGACGUGCCUGAGAACCACAAGCGUGCGGUGUGUGACCUCACUGUGGCCGACCGGCUCGCUCUGUACGAUCACGUGGUCGGCGUCCUCAACCAGCAGAAGGAAGCGGCGUCCUCCAGCAACGACGAUCUCUACGUAGACCUGGUGUCCAAACUCCAGAAGGACGACCAACAGAAUGAACCAAAGACUCACCUGGAGCUGAUGGCAGAGAUGAGGGACUACAAGAGGCGGCGGCAGUCUUACCGGGCCAAGAACGUGCACAUCACCAAGAAGUCCUACACUGAGGUGAUCAGAGAGGUGAUCAACGUCCACUCACAGGAGCUCACCAGACAGUGGAGAGAAGAAGAAGAAGAAGAAGAGUCGACGAGAUCUGAACUGUCCUCUCAAAGGCGUCGGCUGGACGAGAGGCGCUCGGCGUCGUCGGAGUCUCGCCACUCGCACGGCAGACGCCAUCGCAGCCGAGAGCGAAGCCAAGACAGAGAGAGCAAGAAGAAGAGGAAGAAGAGGGAGAGGGAUUCCCGGUCUCCUGAUGACCACCACCACCACCACAAGAAGAAGAAGAAGAAGAGGAAAGAGGAGAAGGAGAAGUGAUGCUGCUGGAAGAGCAGCAACCAAUCAGACGAGGUCUAAGGUCAUUGUGGCUCCGGCGGGUCAGAAGAUCUCAGGUAUUUCUCACCCUGUUGAGACGCAGAGAUAGACGAAGAGAAGAAGAAGAACAACAGGAAAAAGUAGGAGAGGAUCCCGUCAGUGCCUGGGAACCUGAGGGAUCCUGGAGGGACAGAGAGGAGACAGAGACAGGACAGGGGGGACCAUCGGGGUGAUAAUGCUGUGAGGAGAGCUGCUCAGGGAAAGCUAAACCAGGUUGUUCCUUUAUCCUCGUCU